rnacentral:pre_miRNA from 1 species
UUUGAGGUGAAUUGAUUAUGUUUGGACACUCGUUUAAAAGUGAUUCUUAUGAGUUUAUAUUGUUUGGAUAA